UGAGGAAUAUUGCACAAUGGGCGAAAGCCUGAUGCAGCGACACCGCGUGAAGGAUGAAGGUCUUAGGAUUGUAAACUUCUGUUAAGUGGGAAAAAAGACUUGCUUCAAAUAAAAGCAGGGGAUGAUGGUACCACUAGAGAAAGCACCGGCUAACUUCGUGCCAGCAGCCGCGGUAAUACGAGGGGUGCAAACGUUAUUCGGAAUUACUGGGUGUAAAGGGUACGUAGACGGCAUAUUAAGUCAAUUGUUAAAUUCCCCAGCUUAACUGGGGGUAGGCGGUUGAAACUAAUAAGCUAGAGAGUGGAAGAGAGAAGUGGAAUUCUCGGAGUAGCGGUAAAAUGCGUAGAUCUCGAGAGGAACACCGAUGGCGAAGGCAGCUUCUUGGUCCAUUUCUGACGUUGAGGUACGAAAGCGUGGGGAGCAAACAGG
rnacentral:rRNA from 1 species